rnacentral:rRNA from 1 species
AGCGAACGCUGGCGGCGUGCUUAACACAUGCAAGUCGAGGGAGAACGGCGGGCUUCGGCCUUCCUAGUAAACCGGCGCACGGGUGAGUAACACGUAGGUAACCUACCUUCGAGACUGGGAUAACUCAUCGAAAGAUGGGCUAAUACCGGAUAUGACCACGGGAGUCUCGGCUCCUGCGGUAAAAGAUGGCCUCUGCUUGCAAGCUAUCACUCGAGGAUGGGCCUGCGCGCCAUUAGCUAGUUGGUGAGGUAACGGCUCACCAAGGCUACGAUGGCUAGUUGGUCUGAGAGGAUGACCAGCCACACUGGGACUGAGACACGG